rnacentral:rRNA from 1 species
UAGGGAAUCUUCCACAAUGGACGCAAGUCUGAUGGAGCAACGCCGCGUGAGUGAAGAAGGUUUUCGGAUCGUAAAGCUCUGUUGUUGGUGAAGAAGGAUAGAGGUAGUAACUGGCCUUUAUUUGACGGUAAUCAACCAGAAAGUCACGGCUAACUACGUGCCAGCAGCCGCGGUAAUACGUAGGUGGCAAGCGUUGUCCGGAUUUAUUGGGCGUAAAGCGAGCGCAGGCGGAAGAAUAAGUCUGAUGUGAAAGCCCUCGGCUUAACCGAGGAACUGCAUCGGAAACUGUUUUUCUUGAGUGCAGAAGAGGAGAGUGGAAUUCCAUGUGUAGCGGUGGAAUGCGUAGAUAUAUGGAAGAACACCAGUGGCGAAGGCGACUCUCUGGUCUGCAACUGACGCGGAGGCUCGAAAGCAUGGGUAGCGAACAGG